rnacentral:rRNA from 1 species
AUGUACAACUUCUAACGGUGGACCCCUCGGCUCGUGCAUCGAUGAAGAACGCAGCAAACUGCGAUACCUAGUGUGAAUUGCAGAAUUCAGUGAAUCAUCGAGUCUUUGAACGCAAAUGGCGCUCUCGGUUUUGCCGGGAGCACGUCUGUCUGAGCGUUCGUUU